CAGUCAGUAAACACUAAUAUCAGCACUGCUGUACCUGAACAUGUGCAACAGAGUUUGCUGAUGUCCAGAUGUCUCGUCUGGUUGCUGAUGGGAUUGUUGAGCACACAGCUGAGAGAGUCACAUGACCCAUAUUCACCACUGAACACAGCAGCACACAUUUGGACACUGAUGAUGACGAAGACGAUGAUGAUGAUGAUGAACAGCAGUAACUGGUGAUGACAGGAACAGGCAGUGGAAGAAUGCGUGGUUCUCAUUAACAGAGGAAAAAUGAAGAAACUCUUCAUCCACAAACCACUAACAGAAACACUGACGCAGUUCAUCUAAUAAAAGACACUCGAAAGCAGAAGUUGUUUGUCCACCAACAGAUCAAACCACAUUUCUGUACAGAGCAGGUUUAAUUCUGACUCACAGACGAAGCAGAUCAC